GCUGUGAUAUAGAUUAAUUGAUGGUGAAUCAGCUGUUGGGAAAACAAGCUCAGGGCUCCCACUGAUUGUACAUUAUGACCAAGUGUGUUGGGGACUUGAGAUAUGUACAUGAGUGUUUGUGAUGUUUCCUGGUGAAAGCACAGGUGAGACGUGGUCUUGUAACACAGUGGUUAAGAAUGUGACUUUGGAGCCAGCCUGCUAGGGGCUGAAUUCUGACUCAGCCAUUUAUUAACUGUGUGACCUUAGGGAGGAGGACCUGGUUGAUAGAAGAAUUUAUCUCAUAGUCUUAACAUCCACUGUAAUUCCGAACUUUGAGGACGAUAGAGAUCAGUGGGCUUUGACUGCCCAGCAUGCAGUCUCCAUUCUUAGGUAGGUUCCCAAGCCUGUAAAAUGUAAGUCUUAUGUUGCUGAGGGCCAUCUUGCCACCCCGAGGGGAACGCUGCCUGAGAAUGAAACCAGCAUAAGUAAAAGCUGAGCUGUGAGAUGGAGUGAGAUGAAGGCCACAUGACAUCUUUGGAGCACCUGGAUCUAACUGUGCCUUAAGCUAGUCUAACCCUGAACAUUUCAUUGACAUGGGCCCAGGUUUUCCCUUUUUUUUUUUUUUUUUU
rnacentral:antisense_RNA from 1 species